rnacentral:pre_miRNA from 1 species
CAGCAUACUGUCUUCGCCGCUGUAAUCUCAUCCGAAUCUGUUGCAGAAACGAAGCAACGAAUUCGACUGAGAUUGGGGCGUUGCAAGACAUAUCAUGAAA